CAAGCAACAAUUUGACUUGGAGCUUAGUGUCACGCAUACUUCGUGUAUGCCAAAAAAAUAGAAAAAGAUAAAAGAAAAUUAUACAUAUAUUCGACAAAAUUUAAAACACACAUGAAAACCAAAAAUUAAUAUAUUAAAAUUUCUUACUUAGUUAAAGUUCAAUAACUCAACUUGCUCAACAGAUCAACAACAUUUUAAAUAUCACAAAAACAUCGACAUUGAGAAGGAGUAACACUUGGCAUCUGUCCGUAUGGAUCAAAAUCCUAGUAGAAAUGCCAAUAUGAGUGGCAGACUCAAGAACUCUACAGCUCAUAACCCAAAUGUAUGUCCGCAAGUUCGUGGCCGACCGCGUAACCGUCAAUUUCGUUUAACGUCAACAUCAGCAAACGAAGAGGAAUUAGCACCCAAUUCACCGCCCACCAUUCUUAACAUAGUGGUACCGAGUCAAAUAGGCAGUGAAACAUCGGUUGUCAGUUCUCGCUUAAAUACUACAUCGUUGAAUGUCGUCACAAAAUCGUCGGCGCCUUUCACGUCGAUGUUAGAAUCGCAUGAGUCUAAUGAGGAUACCCAGAAACCGGAAUUUGAUUCGUGGAACGACCAGUCUCAUGCUACAAUUAAAUCGUCCACAAAGAAGUGCCAGUCAAAAUCUUCGAAAGCUGAAAGAGGCUUUUCUAAGGAGGAAAGUUUUGAAUCUCACCUAUCAGUUACAGCCUGUCAGCCUUGUAAACCAGCUCAACAUGAUGUGAGUUAUUUGAAGCAACGCCUUGUCAAAUAUCGUGCCGAAACUGAAAGUUGUGGAGAUGCAGCUAGACUUAAUGGACAGUUAAAUGAAAUAUUCGUACGACGAUUGGUGGACAUUGAAAAUGUGGCGACAGGCGAUACGGAUAUCAAACUCGUAACUUACCAGGAAUGGGUGGAUAUGCUAAUGCAAAUCAACGAAGUUAUCAUUGGUAAUAUGGCAGAUCUUGAGAGUGAGGUAGCAGAGCGGCUGGAAUGCAUGAAACGCCGUAUACAAUCAACCUGUAGCCAAACGAGCAGCAAUGAACAUAAAUACCGCCAGGACAUUUGUGCGCUAAUGAAACUCAUAAAGAACGCAUACCAUCAUGAUAACUGGGAUAUACAAGGACUCGAAUUUCAAACUGUAAAUCCAACUGAGAUUUUGGGCAUGAGAGAUAACACAUGCUCAGACAUGGAACAAUCGAAUACUAUGAGGCUAGAAUACGGCGAAGAUGACCGAGAUUCCCCCAAUAGGUGUUGUCUUAAUGAGCCGGAAUGUAUUUUGGAAAGUGUUAUAUUUCAUCCGCCUGAUGUACGGUGCGGAGAAAAUAAUCGGCCCGUCAAUACGUCGAGCUGUGCCGGCAGUUGCGCUAAUACCUGCAGUCAAAAUGAAAAUAUGCUUGUGAAACCAAUGUGCCCAGGCUCGGACAUUAUAACAGAUAACUCGGUAGAUUCAUGCAAAACGAGUUCCCUUGCAAAUCCCCAUAACUCCAAUUCGAAUUUGCGUGCUCUAGCAGUGGAAGUGGCCGCGAAACAUGAUGAGAUCUGUGACUUAAGACGACAAGUUUCUUGCUUAGAGGAUGAAAUACAGAAGGCGCAGCAAAAGCUUCAACUAAAGGACAAUGUUAUAAAAGAGUUGCGAAAUGAUUUGAGAUGUGUCAAUACUAAGCUAAUUGAUAACGGUUCGGGCGUUUGUGGUGCAUGUCGCGAAGAAUCGGCAAAUUACAACAUGCCACCAAUCAACCUGGAACAACAUUCGUCGCGAAGUGCUUCGACCCAAGUGUCUGCCGGAAUGGAGUUGUGCAAUCAGGUCUCAUUUAUUGCUGAAAACCUGUCAUAUGAUUCAUUGAGUAAUGCCGGCCAAGUGGAACAACAAAAGUUAAAAGCUCUCGAAUUUGAAUUAAACGAGCUCUUCCAAGUUACUAGAGAGUUUAAAAUCCAAAAUCUGGAAUAUCAUCGAAAGCGGCUGUCGGACAUUUUGAACAAAUCCGAAACCGAAAAAGCAGAAGCCUAUAGAAAGUUAGACCAUAUUCGCAAGCAACUCAUUAAUCUAGAAGCUUCUUCGGCAAUAUCAUCUAAAAGCUGCUGCAAUGAUUCUGACUCGGGUUUCAGCUCCAAAUGCGACAAUGAUCAGGAUGCUAAGAUAUUAGAUGCUCUACGAAAUCGUUUACAACGGCUCAAUGAAAUGAACAUGGUAUUGAAUCAUCGCGUUCAAACACUCACAAUUGAAAAUAAUGAACUAUCGACGUGCUUAAAAACAGAGCAGACUUUUGCAAAGAGGAAUAGUGAUACACUAAAGAAUCUAGCUGAUAUGAUAUGUGGAAUGUCGGACCAGGAAUUUGUCUACGAUGAUAUUUAUAAUAGAAAUUCUGAGUCUAACCCUUUCUGUCAAGCCAUCAUAAAAAUGAAAUGCGAUUUCGAAGAAAAGGAACGAAAACUUAUGAAUAGUUUAUCAAUGAAACAAGAACAGCUGGCCAAACUACAGAAAUCUCAAAUUUGCAAACAGCAUGAUCUGGAACAAUUAGACAGUAGCACCACAUUGUCAGGCGACUGUUCACACGGCGACCAAUUUCAACAACCAUUUAAAUUAUGGGACAAAACACAUAUGCUCUCAACUUAUGACAGUUACUUGAACAUUGUCAAUGAAUUGAAGAACGAACUCUCGUUCCUAUCGAGACAAGUGGCUAUGGUACAAAAAGAGUUUCAUGAUUCAUCCGAACAUGACGAGGAACGCUGCACAAAGCUCGAGUCGUCGCUCAAGAUCUUGGAAUCGCAAAACGACUUACUACAGCACGCAUUGGAACAAGUCUCACAAGACAAUCACAAACACUGUUAUGAACUAAGCCAAAGUAACGAAAAUCUUCGAUGCCAGGUACAGCAUCUGCAGUGUACUAUUUUGGAGAAGGAACAGUGUAUAGGAAAGCUAAAUAAUAUGCUGGAUCAACUGCGAUGCGAGCAACAGCAACAAUACCAACAACGUACCAGUGAUUGUUGCCUCAAAGCUAAAGACAAAGAAAUACGAGAGUUGUGUCAGAAGUUAGAACAAGCAAAUAAAAAGAUUGAAUCACUUGUAUGUGAACUAGAACAGAGUCAAAAACAAGAGCGGUUCUUGCUUUGCGAAACUCGAAAACUGAACGAAGAAUUGAAUGAAAGUAAACGGAAGCAUGGAGACGUAAGUACGCAGAUGCAUCGGUUGAACACACUAUUGAAGUCUCAAAAUGAUUGUCGAGCGGAUAUUUGUAAAAAAUACGAGGAACUGGAACGAAACUAUGAGGAUCAGGCGAAACAGUUACGAGCCGCCUGUGCGCAAAUGAAUUGCCUACAAGAGCGUUUAGCGCUAAUGGAUAAACGUCAAGAGGAGCAUAAUAUGGAGGUAUUGAUGCAUACUUUUCAGCGUAAUCUAUUAAGGGAUGAGGUCCUGGCUUUGAAAGAAAAAGAGGCCACAUUGCUUAACAAACAAAGAUGUCUGGCGGAUAAAUUGUUAAAGACCGAGAAGGAGUUAUAUACUGCACACGAUGUAAUGAAGGAGCAGCAACAUAUUAUGCAACGCAGUGAGUCUACGCAAAAAGACUGCACAAAGCGACUUCAAGAAGCAAACAAUGAGUUAAAGCGACAAUUUAACGUGCUUUGUGAUGACUACAAGCAACUCGAGAAUGAGUACAGUGCGAUCUGCGCAAACAAAAUGAGAAGGUCAUUGAUUCUUUUCGUAAAUGGAAGGAAGCGCAGCUUAAAGCAGAUGACGCGACCCGAGCAAGUUUUAAGCAGUAUGAGGGACACAUUAAACUUCUACUGGAAGAAAAACAGCAAUUCACCGAACAAUAUCGCUGUCUGCACGGAGACUACAUGGCGCUGCAAAAUGAAUUAGAAAGGAUAAAGUUGUGCACCUACAGGUUUAACACUUCUGGAAAUUCUUCGAAUAUUUCGGAAAAAUCGUUGCCACAGCGCAUUGAACUGAUUCGAAGCACUUCACUGCGAGUUUCACAGAAGAGUAGUUCUUUAAAAUGUGAUGACACAUCUCAAGACGCAUCUUUGUCGACGAAUCCUCUGUGAGAUUACUCGCUAAAUACCAUCAUCAAGCAUUAAAGUACAGUAAUAAGGAACUUAGAUAUUUAAGAUAGCUAUGUAGAGUGCCAUUUCUUGGGAUAUUCAGCAUUGGUAGCCGCAUAUCAUAAAUGCAAUGUCGAAGUAUGUGAAUCACAUGUAUAAUACCUACUUAAUUAAUUUGAGUAUAUUAACUAGUUGUGUUCUGAGUUGAGUUUAUAACCAACUAAAUGUGUGUAUAUGUAUAUAUAUAUUAUAUUUAUCUAUACAUAUAUAUACAAAUUAAAAUAUUUUUAGUACACAUAUUUAUUUUUUGACAAUGUUCAUUUUAUGACAAAUAUGUCACAUACAUAUCAAAGCAAAAUAUUUUGCUUCUAAAUUAGAUUAGGAAAUAUUCAUAAAUAAAAAAUUGUAUAUUUAUGGCAAAAAAAUCGAAAUGUGGAAAUAAAAAAAUUGGCUGCGAAAACAUUCUUAAAGUUGAAAUUUCCUAACUAUUCAACCAACAAGAAUCUGGGCAAAGCAUGAGACAUUGUGAAUAUACAUAUCGCUCAUUUACAUGAAUAGUGUCAUAACUUAAAAAACACUAUUAUUAAGUUGAGUAUGUAGAAAUGUACGUAAAAUCAUUGUCCAUAUGUGUAAAUAUUGCAUUCUGAUGCGUAGAAAAGAUAAGAAUGUGUCGUUAUUCCAUUUGUUAUUUUGCAUUUUCUUUAACCACAAUAACGACGUUGUGUUACAACGAUUUUGGUGAAGAGAUAAUUAAAUUUUUCAUGUUGCUUUUUCUCAGAAAUUCCGACGCAUUUGACUCUUAUGACAGCGAAAUUGAUUCAUAUUUUUAACAAAUAACGUCAUAUUUCAAAGUUGAAGACAUUUAUGCUCAAGAAAAACCUUUGGCUAACUCUGUUUAGUCCACUAAUACUCAGCUUUUUAUUUAAUAUGUAAUAUAUGCCACGAGAUGUUUCAAAAAACUUAUGGCGUUUUUCUAUAUUUGCUAAAUAGGAGACAAUUGAAAUUCUUAUCUCUUCUAUGUACAUGAGUGAUACAUAUGUAUAUGCAAAGCAGCAAUAACAUUUAUUUGAUUUAAUUUAUGUAUAAAAUACACCACGUCUCUACACUCUGUAUAUAUCUAUCAGCCCUAUUCUCAUGCCCUCACAAAAAUCACUAUACUCACUACAGUGAGGUUUUUGGAUUUUGUGAUGAUUUCCUUAUGCUGGAGAAAAUUUAAAAGUUCAAAUGCUCACAAUUUUCUCAAACAUCUGUGACAUGUGAAAGCAGCCAUCACAAUACAAAAAUAUUUGUGUUUGUUUUGGUUUUUAGCAAAAUUUGGAAACAAAUGUUGUUGAAUUGUUCUUUCAAACCGAAUCUGGAGCAAUAAGGACGUACCUUGCAUUUUCAUUUGUUGAGCGAUUUGCUGCCAACCACAUCUACAAUCCAAUAAGGACGCAUUAUUUUUGUAAAGCAAAGGACACUGACACACAGCCUCUAUAAGACGAUGAUUUACAUCCAUGUUAUUUUUAUACUCUCGCAACAAAUGUUGCUAAAGAGAGUAUUAUAGUUUUGUUCACAUAACGGUUGUUUGUAACACCCAAAACUAAACGAGUUAGAUAUAGGGUUAUAUAUGCCAAAGUGAUCAGGGUGAAGAGUGGAGUUCAAAUCCGAAUGUCUGUCCGUCCGUCCGUCCGUCUGUGCAAGCUGUAACUUGAGUAAAAAUUAAGAUAUCUUGAUGAAACUUGGCACACUUAUUUCUUGGCACCAUAGCUUUGCUUUCGAAAAUGAGCAAAAUCGGACCACUGCCACGCCCACAAAAUGGCGAAAACCAAAAACACAAAGUGCCAUAACUAAGCCAUAAAUAAAGCUAUGGAAAUAAAAUUUAGUAUGAAGGAUCGCACUAUGAAGGGGCAUAUUUGGAUGUAAUUUUUUUGGGGAAGUGGCCCCGCCCCCUACUAAAUUUUUUGCACAUAUCUCGCAAACCAAUAGAGCUAUAUAAACCAAGCUUUCUGCAGUCGUUUUUUAGCCACUUCCUAAUACAGUCAAAAAAUUAAAGAAAUCGGAUUAUAACCACGCCCACCUCCCAUACAAAAGUUAGGUUGAAAAUUAAUAAAAGUGGGUUAACUCACUAGCGAAAAACGUCAGAAACACUAAAUUUCACAUAAGAAAUGGCAGAUGAAGGCUGCACUCAGAUUUUUUUACAAAAUGGAAAAUGGGCGUGGCGUCACCCACUUAUGGGUCAAAAACCAUAUCUCAGGAACUACUCGACCGAUUUCCAUGAAACUUGGUUUGUAAUAGUUUCCUUACAUCACAAUGAUAUGUUGUGAAAAUAGGCCAACUCGCUUCACAACCACGCCUACUUCCUAUAUACCAGAACUUUGAAAACAAUCUGAAUCGUUUACUUUACAAUAUAUAAUGUAAGCACUAGUAAAGAUAUCGGUGCAGAACUUUGCACAAAUACUAUGUUAAUAGUGUGGCAGCCCCAUUCUAAAAAUCGCCGAAAUCGGACCAUAGGUUCUUAAGGCCCUAUAUAUCGAACACGAGGACCUCGGUGCUUCUAACCUAAUAUUAUGGUUUCCAACUUUCAAUGGACUUUAUAGAAUAUAUAUGACGAAUAUGUGGGUCAAAUUGUGUAUUAUAUAAUAUAAAUAAAGUUAAAUAAAUAAAUUGCGAGAGUAUAAAAUGUUCGGUUACACCCGAACUUAGCCCUUCCUUACUUGUUUUAUAAUUCUUUUGUUUUUUAACUUUCGACUGUAAAUACGCAAUUGUGAUGUUUUUCAUUUGUUUACAAAUUUUACAACAAUUUGUAUUUAUUUUGAACUAGCAGACCCGGCCACACGUUUUUGUGGCUAAGGUAUACAUUCAAUUAAUUUGGUCCAAUCUUGGCUUCGGCAACGAUAUUGAUUACUCGAGGUUGAUUUAUGUUACGCAGCAUGAUGACAACUCACACUACUUUUAAUUGCAAAGUGAGUGGUGAUAGUACAGGCAAUUUUAAAUAGUUUGGGAUAAUUGACUACGUCAUCCUGGUUUCUAGCUGUGUCAACUCUCUUGGACCGAAAUUCUAAAUUGUCGCAUUACGAUCAUCGAUAUUUUUUUUUACCACCAAUAUAGGUCAUUCAAUAAGUCAUUUAUGGUUAUCAUAUUGAGGUUUCAUGUCAGGAAAACUUUCUUUCUGUUGGAAAUGCUAUUAAUCCAUCGAGGUGUCAACUGCCAACAGCUUCUACAUUCGCAAUUUGAUAUUGUUCAAAAACACUCAUAUGUUAGUUUUUAAUUGGCGAUUCUUUAUGUGUCGCCACAAAUUAAAUGAUUUUAGGCAUGCGAUUAGUCCGUUAGUAACAGUUGAUCCAGGAAUAAUUGGAAGAGUCUGGCGUAAAUCACCUCCUAACAGAAUCCUGGCUCCACCAAAAACGUUCAUCAACAAUCAAGAUCUUUUAAAGUCCUGUGCAGUACCUCCAGCGACUUCUUGAAUAUUUGGAAAAUCUUCGUUAUAGCGCUAUUUUUGGCGAUUUUGCCGACUGGUUUUUCGUUCAUUUGCAAUUUAGGAGUAAUUUCAAGGCCGAAUGUGCCGUUUGUUUGCCUACUAACAGGUGUCAAGUUGACCCUAUACCCGUUAACCUUGGUGGUGAAAAUGAGUUAAAUUGGUUCUGGAAUUACAUCAGCCCUCAUAUGCUAUAUAUGAUGAUUUUCUAUUGGACUAUAUGCCGAAUAUAUACAGUAUACUCUCGAAAAGUAAAUUCUCAGAAAGUAAAUAAUCGCGGUAAAGUUAAUCACCUUUAAGAUUACACAUGUACCUCGAAAAAGUAAAUUUUUUAAUUUACUUUUCAGAGAGUGUGAUAAAAAAUUAGAAACGAAACAAGCAGCGUUUUUUACGAUGUUGCAAAAACACUUACUCUCUUGUUUAUCGCGUCUGUUUAGUAAAUAAACUCUCCUACUUGAUCCACUGGUUUAAAAAUGAAAACGAUGCAAAUCAGGUGUCAGACUUUUUGAAUUGUCGUACAAAAAUGGUCAGAAAAUAUAUUGCAAAAGAAAAAAAACAAAAGAAUAUUCAAGAUUUUUUUUCUUCAUAGUAAAAACAUAUAUGUAUGUAUGUAAAUAAAUGAAUGAAUUUUUAAAGUUUAAAAAUGCAUUUAAUAUUAUAAAAACAGAUAAUUUAUGUAUAUAUUUGGAAAAGUAAAUUAUUCGAAAAAGUAAAUUACCCAAAAUACCAAUCGAUUUACUUUUCGAGAGUAUACUGUACGUCAAAUUGUGUGUUAUCUUAAUAAAAUUGCAUCAAUAAAUUGCGAGAGUAUAAAAUGUUCGGUUGGACCCGAACUUAGCUUUUCCUUAUUUGUUACAAAUUGUUUUGGGCUAUCGACACAAUCUUAUACAAUUGAACAAUAACAAAAAUAUUUUAACAAAGCAACAAUGAUAACCUUCAAAAUAUUAUUUUUUUGUUUUCUCUUUUUAUAUUUUUCUUCUCAACUCGAAUAAAAUUCUCGUAUUAUUAUCUUCCUCGCAAUUUUUCCAUAUUUACUCACUUUCUAAUCUUUUUAUGGCCUUCCACGAAUAUUUCAAGACUAAAAUUAACCAGAUCGGUUUGGCCGUUUUUGCGGCACAAACGAACAGCAAUUCAUUUUUAUAUUAUAUUAUUAUCAAGCGACAAAUUUUUUAUUUCCGUACAGGACCAUUCAGUAGGGAAUCGACCGCGCGAGUGAUCUUAACCCCCUCCCGUACCACCGUGCACGAGUGACGCCUACAACUCUACAUACAACGCAUAGUUAGCCGCCGAGCGGCCUUUCAAAAUUUUUAACUCGUGAUAUCUUUUGAAUGGAAUGUCAGAAUCUAAUAAUUCAAAAAGUUAUAUAAAGGUUUUGAAGCGAUCUUAAAUAAUAAAUAAUAUUUCGAUAAGGAUUAAUACUAAGGUACAAAUAAAGAGACUUUUCAAGUAGUGGUACUUUAAUUAAUUUUUUUUUAUAAAAUCGCUUAUAGUGACAAAGCUAUAAUAGUUAGAGAUAUGAUGUCGCGACGUUUUUUGUAGAUAAUGAUAAGUUCUACAAAAUUGUAGUACAUCACUUUGUUAUAUCUUCAAUCGUUUUCGCAGCAUUCGCGAUUAAAGAAAGUUUUUUGGUAUUUUUUUUACAUUAUCGGAGUUUUGGUAAGGAACCCUAUUUUUUUUUUAACUAAAUAUAGCCUAUGUCGCUCAGGGAUAGUAUAGUUUUCCAACGGUGAAAGAAUUUUUCAAAUCGGUUCAGUAGUUUCGGAGCCUAUUCGAGACAAACAAACAAAAAAACAAACCUUUCCUCUUUAUAAUCUUAGUAUAGAAGUAUAGAUUUAUUUCUUUUGAAAAAACCUGUUUGACAGCAAAAUGCUUUUCACCUCAAUUGCUGACUUUUUUAAGCUUUUUAUACUCUCGCAACAAAUGUUGCUAAAGAAAGUAUUAUAGUUUUGUUCACAUAACGGUUGUUUGUAACACCCAAAACUAAACGAGUUAGGUAUAGGGUUAUAUAUACCAAAGUGAUCAGGGUGAAGAGUGGAGUUCAAAUCCGAAUGUCUGACUGUCCGUCCGUCCGUCUGUCUGUGCAAGCUGUAACUUGAGUAAAAAUUAAGAUAUCUUGAUGAAACUUGGCACACUUAUUUCUUGGCACCAUAGGAAGGUUGCUUUCGAAAAUGAGCAAAAUCGGAAACCAAAAAUACAUAAAGUGCAAUAACUAAGCCAUAAAUAAAGCUAUGGAAAUAAAAUUUGGUAUGAAGGAUCGCACUAUGAAGGGGCAUAUUUGGAUGUAAUUCUUUUGGGGAAGUGGGCGUGGCCCCGCCCCCUACUAAGUUUUUUGUACAUAUCUCGCAAACCAAUAGAGCUAUAUAAACCAAACUUUCUGUAGUCGUUUUUUUUUAGCCACUUCCUAAUACAGUCCAAAAAUUAAAGAAAUCGGAUCAUAACCACGCCCACCUCCCAUACAAAAGUUAAGUUGAAAAUUGCUAAAAGUGGGUUAACUCACUAACGAAAAACAUCAGAAACACUAAAUUUCACAUAAGAAAUGGCAGAUGAAAGCUGCACUCAGACUUUUUUACAAAAUGGAAAAUGGGCGUGGUGUCGCCCACUUAUGGGUCAAAAACCAUAUCUCACCAACUACUCGACCGAUUUCCAUGAAACUUGGUUUGUAAUAGUUUCCUUACAUCCCAAUGAUAUGUUGUGAAAAUAGGCCAAAUCGCUUCACAACCACGCCUACUUCCUAUAUACCAGAACUUUGAAGAAGAUCUGAAUCGUUUACUUUACAAUAUAUAAAGUAAGCACUAGUGAAGAUAUCGGUGCAGAACUUUGCACAAAUACUAUGUUAAUAGUGUGGCAGCCCCAUUCUAAAAAUCGCCGAAAUCGGACCAUAGGUUUUUAAGGCCCCAUAUAUCGAACACGAGGACCUCGGUGCUUCUAACCUAAUAUUAUUGUUUCCAACUUUUAAUGGACUUUAUACAAUAUAUAUGACGAAUAUGUGGGUCAAAUUUUGUAUUAUAUAAUAUAAAUAAAGUUAAAUAAAUAAAUUGCGAGAGUAUAAAAUGUUCGGUUACACCCGAACUUAGCCCUUCCUUACUUGUUUCUUAUGAGGUUCGAGCCAGAAUAGACUCACAAAAUAUACGUCACAAGAAACCUCACAAAUUUUUCCUCUCAACUCAGUUAUGAGGUUUUUUCAGAAUAGGGCUGUAUGUUUCAAUAAGUUUGCUUCUGUCAUUAGCAGUACCUUCGAACUACUUUGCAAUCCAACCUGUGUGGGGACCCGCUCACCGCAGUAUCUCUGGAAACUGCAAAGCGGGCUAUCUUGACGCCGGAGUGGAAUCGGGUGGGUAGUCCGUGGUCCACUUGCGCUAGAUCAUUGUAGCUCGUCAAACGCUGGACAACAACAAGCAAGUGUGCAGUAUCGAGGUUUUUCUGGCCCGCAGUAGGAAGGCUCAUCUCGCCGCAAUCAUUGGUGUACUUACUGGUCAUUAUUAUUGAGGGACUUGUAGAGUUUGGUUUUUGUUCGUCGAGAGAGGACUUUACUUUUCAAUUGCCUACUUAGUCCGAAGUAGCACUAGCUGGCAAGAGUGAUCCUAAUGAUUUCUAGACUGAUAGUUUUAUUAGUGUUAAUGUUGGUUCCAAGCUAUACGAAAUUAUCUACAACUUCGAAGUUAUGAUGGCAACAGUGACGUGAGAGCCAAAUUUCCAAUGACUGUUUGUUUGUUGACAGGAUAUAUAUCGUCUUAUCCUCAUUCACUAUCAGACCCACUCGCUUCGCUUCCUUAUCUAGUAUCAUUAUCAUCUGCAUACGCCAGCAGCAGAAGAUUGUACCUUCUCUAUUAUGUUUUGUUCUAGGGGAUGAGAUCAUGUGUAGAAGUUCACGUAAGUGAGGAAAGUUUCUGACUGUCAUUCACUGGGGAGUGGCCAAGAACGAUCCUUUGGAUAUGGCUCAAGCAGCUCACGCCUUCCGGUCUUAGAUCAAGUAUCCUAUGGGUAGCCAAUAUCCUCCGAGACGAGCUAAUGUGAGCAGAAGAAGCCCCCUUCGACGGUUGUGCGUAGGGUAGGGCUUUGCCCAAUGAAAAGAAAGCAACAGCCUCGGAUGAAAGACCCCAAAUUUAAUAAAAUGUUUUAAUAGCCUAAAAUAUAUACAAACAGGGAAUGGUUUUUCAUAUCUUCUUCCAUCCAGUUUUGUCCUUGAUUGGUGCAUCCACAGCAUUUCACAUUUUUGAAGAAAUUAUUUCCCAAAAAGUAUUUGAUGUGGCUAGUGCUCUUUGCGAAAACCAUUUGCUAUAUCGGGAUGCAACUUCAUUUCGUUCACUAGCACCUCAAAUUGAUUUAUCUUAUACUAUGUUUACAUAUAACGAGAUUAUUAUAUUAAUAUUAAGAAAAGAGAUUUCCCAUACAAAAUUCCUCUCUGGAUAAUCCGAGAUUAUAAAAUUAUCUCGUUUUAUACAACUAGAUUUUCGGUGUUAUUCCUAGGUUUAUCGAUAAUUUUGCGAAGAAAAGGAGAAAUGUCAAAUGAAAAUGUAAACAACAAUGGCCGACAGCGAAAGAAAUAUGUAUAAUACAACAACAAAUGCAACACAUUUGACAAUUGAUAAUUUCAUUUGGCUAUAUGUAAACGGUUAGAUUAUUGAACGAGCUUAGAACGAGAUUAUUUUCAUAUGUAAACAUACUAUUAGUGUAUUUUUUUCUAUUGUCUUUAAAAUACACAUUUAGAACAUAAUGUAGUCCGAUAUUAGCAAUUUUUACACAAAUACUUAAAAAUUUCCGCAACUCACUCACCAACGGAUGUUCACUGAUUUCGAAAUUAGCGUUAUCUGUAAGCAGCGAAAAGUAUUUUAUCCAGUCGGUACCAGCGUCUUUAGACAGGAGCUAAUUGAACAAUCAACCGGCCUCUGCUCGAUUAAAACGCUUAUUAAGAUCGAUUUACCAUCCAAAAUAAAAUCUACAUCGCCACAAAAGUUGCUAAGAGAGUAUUAUAGUUUUGUUCACAUAACGGUUGUUUGUAAGUCAUAAAACUAAACGAGUUAGAUACAUAUGGGUUUAUAUCUGUCUGUCCGUCCAUCCGUCCGUCUGCCCGUGCAACGGAUAACUUGAGUAAAAAUUGAGAUAUCUUAACGAAACUUGGAACACGUAUACUUUGGCAACCUGAGGAGGAGAAUGGGCAAAAUCGGACCAUUGCCACGCCCACAAAAUGGCGAAAACCAAAAACCUAUAAAGUGUCAUAACUAAGCCAUAAAUAAAGUUAUGAAAAUAAAAUUUGGAACAUAGGAUCGUAUUAGGGAGGGGCACAUUUGGAUGUAAUUUUUUGG